rnacentral:rRNA from 1 species
GAUCAUGGCUUCAGGAUGAACGCUAGCUACAGGCCUAACACAUGCAAGUCGAGGGGCAGCAUUUUAGUUUGCUUGCAAACUGAAGAUGGCGACCGGCGCACGGGUGAGUAACACGUAUCCAACCUGCCGAUAACUCCGGAAUAGCCUUUCGAAAGAAAGAUUAAUACCGGAUAGUAUACGAAUAUCGCAUGAUAUUUUUAUUAAAGAAUUUCGGUUAUCGAUGGGGAUGCGUUCCAUUAGUUUG